rnacentral:misc_RNA from 1 species
GAAUGAAGAACGUAGCGAAAUGCGAUAAGUAAUGUGAAUUGCAGAAUUCAGUGAAUCAUCGAAUCUUUGAACGCACAUUGCGCCCGCUAGUAUUCUGGCGGGCAUGCCUGUCCGAGCGUCAUUUCAACCCUCAAGCCCCCGGGCUUGGUGUUGGGGAUCGGCGAGCCUCCGCGCCCGCCGUCCCCUAAAUCUAGUGGCGGUCUCGCUGUAGCUUCCUCUGCGUAGUAGCACACCUCGCACUGGGAAACAGCGCGGCCACGCCGUUAAACCCCCAACUUCUGAACGUUUGACCUCGGAUCAGGUAGGAAUACCCGCUGAACUUAAGCAUAUCAAUAAGCGGAGGA